UUGUUUGCAUUCCUUCGUGUCUGAACUAGUGAAGGCUGACGUUGGCUUCUCAGUUCUUUUCCUGUUCAGGGAUGGAGUUGCCCCUGAAGCCUGAACUGAGCCUCCAGCAAUCUUAACCAAGCAGAUCAGGCCGCUGGCAGGUUAGAAGGAAAUAACUGGAAUUCAGGUACUGAUGGACUUUCCUUAAUGUGCUGCCCAAAUAUUGUGGUAAAUACUGCAUGAGAUGCUGGGGAUCAAAGCCAAGACCUCAUACAUGCUUGGGCUCAGGAUGCAUGUGAUGACACUUCACGUUACGAAAUAGAAAACCAAGUGACUCUGUUUCAUGAUCCAUAAACCCCCUAACAAAAUCCCUCAGACACCAGGGAAAAAGCCGCGUUUGUGGUUCUAUUUUUAAUCUCUCUAUUUUUUAAUUCUCCUCAUUUCACCUUUAAAACUUCUCCUUGCUUCAAAUUUUUGAAUAUGCUCAAUUUACAAUGGCACUUGUAUUGCUAUUGCAAUGCCCUGCUAUUCCUAAAUAAAUAUAAUUAAUCCUUAGAGAAUCUUUCUGUCUGAUUGCU